GACGAACGCUGGCGGCGUGCCUAAUACAUGCAAGUUGAGCGCUGAAGGUUGGUACUUGUCCCAACUGGAUGAGCAGCGAACGGGUGAGUAACGCGUGGGGAAUCUGCCUUUGAGCGGGGGACAACAUUUGGAAACGAAUGCUAAUACCGCAUAAAAACUUUAAACACAAGUUUUAAGUUUGAAAGAUGCAAUUGCAUCACUCAAAGAUGAUCCCGCGUUGUAUUAGCUAGUUGGUGAGGUAAAGGCUCACCAAGGCGAUGAUACAUAGCCGACCUGAGAGGGUGAUCGGACACAUUGGGACUGAGACACGGCCCAAACUCCUACGGGAGGCAGCAGUAGGGAAUCUUCGGCAAUGGACGAAAGUCUGACCGAGCAACGCCGCGGGAGUGAAGAAGGGUUUCGGAUCGUAAAACUCUGUUGGUAGAGAAGAACGUUGGUGAGAGUGGAAAGCUCAUCAAGUGACGGUAACUACCCAGAAAGGGACGGCUAACUACGUG
rnacentral:rRNA from 1 species